AGGACGAACGCUGGCGGCGUGCUUAACACAUGCAAGUCGAGCGGAAAGGCCCUUCGGGGUACUCGAGCGGCGAACGGGUGAGUAACACGUGAGCAACCUGCCCCUAGCUCUGGGAUAGCUCCGGGAAACCGGAAUUAAUACCGAAUAUGACUGCGGCUGACAUCAGCCACGGUGGAAAGUUUUCGGCUAGGGAUGGACUCGCGGCCUAUCAGCUAGUUGGUGAGGUAACGGCCCACCAAGGCGACGACGGGUA
rnacentral:rRNA from 1 species